rnacentral:rRNA from 1 species
UACAGAGGGUGCAAGCGUUAAUCGGAAUUACUGGGCGUAAAGGGCGCGUAGGUUGUUUAAUAAGUGAGAUGUGAAAUCCCUGGGCUUAACCUAGGAACUGCAUCUUAGACUGUUGAACUGGAGUAUGGUAGAGGGUAGUGGAAUUUCCGGUGUAGCGGUGAAAUGCGUAGAUAUCGGAAGGAACACCAGUGGCGAAGGCGGCUACCUGGACUAAUACUGACACUGAGGCGCGAGAGCGUGGGGAGCAAACAGG